rnacentral:tRNA from 1 species
GGCAACAUGGCCGAGUGGUCUAAGGCGCUGGAAUUAGGUUUCUACAUACUCUUAAAUCCAGUCCGAAAGGGCGCGAGUUCGAACCUCGCUGUUGUCA